rnacentral:rRNA from 1 species
AUUGAACGCUGGCGGCAGGCCUAACACAUGCAAGUCGAACGAGUGGCGGACGGGUGAGUAAUGUCUGGGAAACUGCCUGAUGGAGGGGGAUAACUACUGGAAACGGUAGCUAAUACCGCAUACCAUCAGAUGUGCCCAGAUGGGAUUAGCUAGUUGGUGGGGUAAAGGCUCACCAAGGCGACGAUCCCUAGCUGGUCUGAGAGGAUGACCAGCAACACGGGAACUGAGAAACGGUCCAGACUCCUACGGGAGGAAGCAGUGGGGAAUAUUGAACAAUGGGCGCAAGCCUGAUGCAGCCAUGCCGCGUGUAUGAAGAAGGCCUCCGGGUUGUAAAGUCCUUUAAGCGGGGAGGCGUUACCCGCAGAGGAAGAACCGGCUAACUCCGUGCAAGCAGCCGCGGUAAUC